ACAUGCACGCACGCAGGGCUCCUUCCACACACUAGCUCACUGUGGCGACGCAACCGCCCCGCUAACACAUUCGCGCGCGCUCUUUCCUCCCCGUCCCCGCCCCACCCUUCCACCGUUUCCAUUGGGCGAGCACCGCACUGCACUCUCUGACCGCCUCCUCCACACUGCUCACAGGGCGACGUGUCUGAGGCGCAUCCCCCACCUCCUCUCUCGCCCUCUUCCCGCUCACUGACGACUGACUGCAGACGGCAUUGGCUGCGCCGGCACGAUGACGCAGAGCACCCACUGCCCGGACACGCAGAUGGACCGCGUGAGCGAGGGCGGCGCGUCCUUCAGCGAUGACGCGGUGAUGGUGAACAAUGUGGGUGAGGCGCAGCUGAAAGACAUGGUGGACCGCCCGAUCAUGCUGGACACGGACGAGCUGGUGUACGCGACGCGGUAUCGGCCGCGCAGCUGGCUAACUACUCUGCUGAGCAAGGCUGUGCCGCACGGUGGGACGCUGUCGAACGCGUACAAUCUCGGCGCCGUGACGCUGGGCUCCGGCGUGAUUGCGCUGCCGUCCACGUUCCAGGCGACGGGUGUGGCCACGUCGGUCAUCGUGCUGAUCGCGAUCACGAUGAGCACUGUGUACUCGGUGUACAUCAUGAUGCAGGCCGCGGACAAGACGGGUCGGCGGCUGUACUCGUACGAGGCGCUGGCGCGCGGGCUGCUUGGGCGCGGGUGGGACUACCUUGCUGCGUUCCACUUGUGGAUGUUCUGCUUUGGGUCGUGCGUGUCGUACGUGAUCUCGACAGGCGACCUGCUGUCGCGCGCGACGGACGACCCGUCUGUGAACAGCUUCGUGCGGUCGGUGUGGGGCAACCGCGUGCUUGUGAUCAUUAUCUGGUCGUGCGUGAUGCUGCCGCUGUCGAUCCCGAAGGAGAUCAACUCGCUGCGCUACUUCUCGGUUGUUGGGGUGUCGUGCAUGAUGAACUUUGUGGCUGUCAUCGUGAUCCACUCUGCGAUGAACGGGUUCAAGAACGGGCGGCCGAUCCACCAGCCGCAUAUGUUCAAGACGGGCAACAACGCGAUUGUGGGGUUCUCGAGCAUCCUGUUCGCGUUCCUCGCACAGACGAACGUGUUCGAGGUGGCGCGCGAGACGCCGAACCCGACGCCCGGGCGGAUCUCGAAGGACCUAGCGAUCAGCCAGGUGGUCUGCUGUGCGCUGUACGUGCUCGCGGGCGUGUUCGGGUACCUGGAGUUUGGCGAGCAGAUCGCGGACUCGAUUCUGCUGUACUACAACGUGCGCAGCGACGUGCUUGUUGCGAUCGCGUACGUUGGGAUCGGCGUGAAGAUGUGCGUUGGGUUUGCGAUCUGCAUGCAGCCGUCGCGCGACGCGGUGUACUACUGCCUCGGCUGGCACUUCUCGAUGUUCAAGGACAUCCGGACGGUGCCGUUCUGGCUGAACGCUGUGAUCUGCACUGGGCUCUCCGUGCUUGCGCUUGUGCUGGGGCUGUUCAUCCCGAACGUGAACGUCGUGUUUGGGCUUGUGGGCAGCUUCUGCGGCGGGUUCCUGGGGUUCAUCUAUCCAGCUCUGUACGUCAUGUACGCUGGCAACUGGGGCCUGCGGCAGGUGGGCUGGCUCCACUACGUCUCGACGUACUUGCUGCUGAUCGCCGGCGUGGUUGCUGUUGUUUUCGGCACGGUUGCCUCUAUCUACGGCGAGGUCCACUGAGCAGCGGCGAGGCAGCCGCGCUUGUCUGCGUUGUUCGCUGCGUGUUUGCUUCACAUGUGUGGAAGAGGUGGAGGAUAGUGUGGAGGAGGGGUAAAGGCGCCGGUGGAGUGGUUUUUGGGUGCGGCCACCGAGCGCGCGGCGCCUAUGGGCGUUCUCCGCACGCCUCGCCACCCGCUUCUCUCCCUCUUUCCCUCUCCACAUCUCCCUCUGCGUGCGUGCCUUUCUUCACCUUCCUUUGCCUUCGGUCUCUCUCUUGGCGACACUGCUGUUGGCAAUGCAGUGCCGAUCUGCGCCUGAGCGUCUUGCACUGCGUGUAUUCUGACUGAGUAACGAUCAAUGUAACUUUCCGGGUCUGCCUGUUCCGCUGUGUAUGUGUGUCUGUGCGGCGGUGGUGCGAAAGGGAGAGCCGAAACAAAAGGAAAAGAUGGUGGAUGGUAUGGACAACGGCGAGUAAAACCAUCACGGCCGUGUGGCGGAAAGAGUGGCAGAACGGCGGUCAGGCGUCGCAUGAUCAGAGGAACGAGUCGCCGCGCUUUUUGUUUUUCGAAGAAGGGAAUCUCCAUCGGACAGGAACGCUGCGUUAACUGGGAAUGUACCGAAGAAACGGAAACGAAAAACGUGAGACAUGUCCAGCAAGCAAAGAAAAAAAAUUGGACACGACGAGCAGGAGCGCUGAAGGGCGCGACUCGCGGCAUCGACUUUUUCGUUUUAUGUUGUCCAUGCCGUGGUUCUCCUCGCUUUCUCUCCCUCUAGUGCUCUAGCGCAAGGAAGUCUUCCGUUGAUCUGUCAGGGAUAUGUUUCUUCCUUUUGGGGGGUGGGAAGAGGAGGAGAGGGCUGCGUUUAUGUCUGUGUGUGAAGCAUGCGAAAGCCACCGCCUUUAUCUUCCCCGCUCGCUCACAAGAUAAAACGGGAAAGCGAAACGAAUAAAAACGGGCAUUCCCUUGAACGGGGACGAGGGGGGGGCGCGAACCUGUCACGCCGUCUGCCAGGGAGAAGAAGCGAGAGCGCAACAACCACAAAAAGACGAAUAUGCCAAGGAAGAGUAGUGGGGGAGCGCACCCGUGCAGCAUGCUCUUGAAGGGGAUACGGAAGCAUGUUAGCUCUCUAUCUGUUUUAUUCUUGUUUUUUUUUCUUCUAAUGUGUUAGUUCUUAAACUCAAGCUUCAUCGCUGUAUCGCUACGUCUGUGCCCGCUUGUGUUCCGCUGACUGAUGAUACCGUUUUUCAUCGACUUCUUUGUUAUGCUUUUAUUUAAUUUCUCUCUGGGUCAGUGGUGCUUUUAUUUUUUUUUCAUGGAUAGGUCUCUUCGGUACCCACCCACCCACCCCCUGCUGCUGUGCGGUGCUCAUCUAUACGCACAAGCAGCACCCGCCGCCGCCGCAGCAGCAGAAAAAAAAAUCGUUGCCCACGACGUAUCUCUUCAAGGAAGCAUUCUUUGAACAAAGAAUCAUCCCCCCUCCCUGCCCCAAACACCAAAAAAAAAGAGAGGAAGUACGGCCCUCACCCCACGCAACAUGCACACGACCACGCAGUCCCCCGGUCGUCUAUUAUUAUUUGCAUGGGCAAAUAUCCUUCUUUUAGCCGACUUUGCAUUCCAAAUCCACCGCUUUCCCCGUGUUGAGGUGCGAUGUAUUUAUGCAUGUGUAUACACACAUAUACAUGUGUGUAUACACAUACUUUCCUCUGUCCCGCUUCGCAUCUCUUUUCCCUUCUUCCAGCACGUGUGCGAGUUGCGUGGUGGGGUGAGGAAGAGGGCCGGAGGACGAAACGAAAAAAAAAACACGAAAAUGUGAUAGCGCACCGGGACACACGUGUGUACACACCAGCGCCUCUUUCUCGAUCGAUACCUGCGGAGCACCUCAUUUGUGUGUGCGUAUGGUGUUGCGCAUCUCCCUCCCUUGAAUCAAAUGAUUGCUUGGUGAGAUCAUCUGGUAUGGCGCAUUACCUUUACUAUUAUUAUUUCGGUUGUGUGCUUUCCGCCUCUUCUUUGCUCUCGUUCCCGUAACUCUGCGUGCGUGUUGUGUACGUAUGCGUGCGCCAGUAUAUGUAUAUGCGCGGCCAUUUUGUGCCUAGUAUUAUUCUUGUCGUCUGUUUUUUUUUUCUUUUCCGCUUCCCCUCCUCUGUCUUUCUCGUUCCCGUUUCCAUUAUUUUUGUCUUGUAUUGAAUGCUUGCCCCUCCCCCUUUUUUUGUGGACAAUGUAUCGCAGUACUGUUAUGCUGGCCGCCGACGCGAAAGAAACGAGGGAGAAUGCUACUUUUUGAUUUUAUUGUCUUCCUGAUGUUCCUCUUGCACUCCUCUUUGGCCUUGCACACCUGCUGUAAAUGAAAACCACGGCUUGGUCGCCUGCUAUCUUUUUGCCACCCUUUUGCGCCUCCUCGCCACGGUGAUGCCAGUUUUUUUUUUUUUUCGCCCUCGGUUUAUGCGCCUGUUCGUGCGUGCGGCGGAGCAGGGCAAGGCACUAGAAAAGGGCGCGCGUACGGCACGAAACUGUAUAUCUUUCCCCGCGGAGGUGAGGUGGGGUGAAAGGAGCAUGGUUGAAAAGUGGCUAGUUGAGCCGUUGAGUCACCACACACGCGAAGUACCCCGCUAGUGGCUUUAUCGACUAGACUGAAGGGGGAGGGGGAGGCUUUAUGCUCAUGGCAAUGCUGUGUGUGUGUACGUGUCAAAGCCUUUUCAAGGUCUUCUCUCCCCUCCCCCUCCCCUCCCUCCUCCUUUUUUUCUCCGCUGUUGACUUCUUUGUUUUACGUAUUCUUUUUUCUUUAAUGGACGCUUCUCCUCUCUUCUCCGUCGUGCUUCUGUGUCGUUUCGUUAUUUCCUCCUCCGUAUCGUCUGCACGCCCGUUGAGCGGGGCAGUGAAGCCGCGAAGCUAAAGAGACAUAUCGGUGGGAUGUUGCUGACACCAGCCCGCGUUUGGCAACCCUCUACGCGCCCUCUUCGUACUAUUAUUUCCGGCAUAUCCGCUGGUGAUGGCGGGUGGCGUUCCUCUUGCGCUCUUUGUGGCCGUGCUUAGUAACGGGUUCUGCUCGAAGAGGCCGCUGGAAAACGUUGGAAACAAAACCCGUCUAGUGUCCUUUAGGCUGCAUUGUGUAGAAAGCACAAGGUGCAGACACUUAGACAUGCGCACGCUAGCGCCUUUCUCUGUCGCUCGCGAAGAGACAAGACACACACACACACAGGUAAAAAGCGGAGACCAGAAGGCAGAGAAAGCCCGAGGGCGUCGUGCUUGAGGUUCUUACGCCGGAAGAAGCACAAUCAUGGAGAGUGCACCACCGUCUCCUGCUGCGGCGAAAAAGAAAAGGGGGAGGGAAUAAGAACGGAAGUGAAAUACGGGAAGCAAAAAAAACGAGAAGGAAGCCAUACAGCAACAAAAAAGGGCAACGUUGACUUCAUGGAUCAUUAGCCACCCCUCAUUCACUGUAUCCAUCUAAGCUUCUUCUCUUGUUUGGCGUGGGGGUGGGCUUCGAAUUUCUUCCCUUUUCAUUUUAUCUUCUUCCCCCUCCCCUCCCCUCCCUCCUCCCCUCACUCACCAUUUUGUGUGCUUGUUUCCCCUUCCUCGCAUUCCGUGUAUUUCAGCCCUCCUCCCUCCCCCACAAACAUCUUCUCUGUUUCCCUGUUCGACGUCACGGUUUUCCUCUUCUGCCCCCCCCCCUCCUUCCUUUCCUCCUUCCUCGUCCUUCUCGUUCCCCACCCCUCCCCCCGCUCUCGUGCGGACCAGGAGGGGGAGGGGUGAGGGACACAACG
rnacentral:misc_RNA from 1 species